ACCACACUUCCUUUGGAAAAUCAUGAGCACUCAAUUGGCUGGUUAGUUGAUUUGUUGCUUGGUUGGUUGAGAAGAGGAAAAUAGUCACCUGCACAGGUGUUAUCAGUCUCAGCUCUCAUAUGUCGCGCUUUUGAGCAACCAAACAAGUAAAAUGUGAAAUAAUUUUUAAAAAGCUUCAUGCUUUCUACUUGCAUUUCUUAAGGAUUUGACAGGAUUCAAGUGCUUACUCCCCCCCCAAUCUAUCCAUACAGCUGGAGAUAAUUGGAAACAUGGGUCCAAACCUGCGGGCAUUUCCGCCCAGCAGUUAUUGGGUCACUACAUCAUAGGUGCAAUCCUCAGCAUGCAAAGCCAAUGCCUGCCACUCAGAGGAUCUGAGACCUAUGAUAGGGAGUAGGAGAUAUUUAGUAUGAUGUAUGAAUGUGGUUUUAUAUAUAUGUAUAUGGAUGUUUUUAGUGCUUAGGUGUUUUAGUGUUUUUAGUGUUUUAGUGUUUUUAAUGUUUUUAGAUUAUUUUUAUGUCCCCAAAUUUAAAUAAUGUAUCUUAAUUUUGCUGGUCAAUGACCAUAAUAAAACGUUUCAGCUUUCAACCUCCUUAACUUUGUCUCCUGAAAACAGAAAACAGCCCAUGGGGCAUUGCAUGGAAUUCAAGAGAAUGGAGUCACAAUGCCAAGGUUCCAUGGGCUCUGAGGUCAGAGGAUUCAAAAGAUGCUCUGAGAAUCCGUUGGGCUCAGAGCCAGACCGGUUUCUUUGGCUGCGAAAACCUCUGUGGAUGAAAGCGGCAGUCGGAGAGGAUGGUGAGGAGAAGGGGUGACAUUAAAGGGGACGAAUAUCAGAAUGGAUAGAGGCGCUAAGAGGCCACCUUUUGACCACUGGUGUCUAAGAUGGGCCAGCAGGAAGGAGAACAAUUUUAAGAAACAACGCUGGGAGAGGGCAAGAGACAAACUGCUACGCCCAAGGAGGAAGGACUUAACAGAUGAAGGAAAGCAAUCCCUUUCCCCUCUUAUCCGUAAACCCCAUAAAUCCCAUAAACCCUGUAAAUCCCGUGUUAUUCCUCUCCCCAGCCCAAAUCCUGCUCUUGUCCCUCUCCCCGACUCAAAUCCUCCUCUUGCCCCUUGCUCCAACCCACCCCCUCCUCUUUCCCUUCUGCCCUUCCCCUUGUUCCACCUUCUCCCUUUAUUUCAAGAGGAUCGCCGUCACCCACACCUCCCAGGAACCCUGACCCGAAGAUUUCCCCUCAGCUGCCUUCCAUCCCAACACCUUCAGCCCAAGAUCCUUGCCCUCCGACCUCUCCCUCCGCCAGCAAAACCACCUGGCCAACUGAAGAAAUCCUUCCGUUCAGUCUUUCCUCCCUUCCUGCCCUUCCCUUCCCUCUCCCUCACCUCCUGCCUCCUUUCCAGUGCCUGCCUUGCCGCUAUUGGUUAUUAUUAUUGUAGGAAAUAACAUAGGAGUAUAUAGGAAAUAUAGGAGUAUUAUCAACCCCUCCCCCCUCCAAAUAGAUCUAAAUUCCUUGAUUUCAUUUAAAAACAUGUUAGGUAUUAUUGAUUAUUCCUUUAUUUCACAAAUUAUUACUGCUGUAUUAUGUAUUUCAAAAAAUAAAUAUUGUUUGUUUUAUUCA
ensembl:lncRNA